rnacentral:rRNA from 1 species
UUUCCGUAGGNNGACCUUGCGGAGGGAUCAUUACACAAAUAUGAAGGCGGGCUGGAAUCUCUCGGGGUUACAGCCUUGCUGAAUUAUUCACCCUUGUCUUUUGCGUACUUCUUGUUUCCUUGGUGGGUUCGCCCACCACUAGGACAAACAUAAACCUUUUGUAAUUGCAAUCAGCGUCAGUAACAAAUUAAUAAUUACAACUUUCAACAACGGAUCUCUUGGUUCUGGCAUCGAUGAAGAACGCAGCGAAAUGCGAUAAGUAGUGUGAAUUGCAGAAUUCAGUGAAUCAUCGAAUCUUUGAACGCACAUUGCGCCCUUUGGUAUUCCAAAGGGCAUGCCUGUUCGAGCGUCAUUUGUACCCUCAAGCUUUGCUUGGUGUUGGGCGUCUUGUCUCUAGCUUUGCUGGAGACUCGCCUUAAAGUAAUUGGCAGCCGGCCUACUGGUUUCGGAGCGCAGCACAAGUCGCACUCUCUAUCAGCAAAGGUCUAGCAUCCAUUAAGCCUUUUUCAACUUUGACCUCGGAUCAUGCACG